GCGUAAGCGACAGCUGCCCGGAGCCUGGACUUUCUCCCAGACCAGCAAAAGUUUCGGCGUGGAUUUGAACGAACACUAACCUUCGGACCUAGGAUACAAGGAAAACCUUUUUUCUGGCUGAGAAAGGUACUGUGAAAUCACAAGAAGUGAGUUUGUGGCUGAUCCGAAUGUCUGUGGUCCUCUACGCACCCCAGAGACGUAUGACGCAGCUGUUGCUGAUCUCCAGGCUGAAAACAUCCAAGGCGUCAGAGGGAUAAAGGUGCCAUUUCGUCUUCAGUGCAAAUAUGACUGACUCAGAGCGAACCUUCCUAGAUGUUGCCAUCAUGGAAGUCCUACCACAACUUUAAGCAGUAAACAAAAACAUCCUGGAAGAGCACUUGCAGUCCAUUGGAGUCGAGACGACUUGGGUAAAGUUGGUUUCAUAUUCGCACAUUCGGACUUCUGCGUUCAAUAACUUUGUUAAUCUUCAUCAAAAAAGGCUAAUUUCAGAUCAGUUAUCAUUACCGACUACUAUGAGCACAAAGCAGAACACAUUUUUCUGUAGAACUCGACGUUUUAAAGACGCUGAUAAACACACUUACCUCUAUGGAGUGCCGUGACGUCAUAGCUCAUCUGAGGGACCGUCUACAAAUAAAAGAUGAAUGUUUAUCAUCUUGAUCUUGUAUGUUACAAAGGUAUAUUUAUUAAUUUGCUUUGUCAGACACAUAACUGUUGUAACAGCACAGUACUCAAGUCAAAAUACCCCACAAGGUGGCAGCUGUUGUCCAGCAGAGGAAACAACUGUUGCAUUCAUACAGCAUUUUUUUUCUAGUAAAGUGUUUAUUAAAAGUACAUAUUUAUAUCAAAUCUAUAGUUUUGUUCUCUAUUGAUUAUAAAACCUAUUCAGCUCGGGAUGCACAAAUACACUAAUGAAAAUAAAUUUAUUGCAAAGUUCUUCAACAGGGUGUUUUGUUUUUAUAUAUAUUGUAUAACGGAGUGUCUAUUCACACUAAGUGCAAAUAUCCCGUCUUAUUGGCAGAAGCUAUUUACACUAAAUCUGCCCACCAAGGUGUGAUUGGGAUAGUCAAUACUAUAAAAGACUUAUAUAAGAGUGUGUUUCCAGUGGCGUAUGUUGUAAAAUGCAUGCUUUUUGACGUGAUCGACACGAGUUCGAGACCGCAUUUUGCCAAACUUUUUUUCUCCCUUUUCAAAUCUCAUAUCGCAUCGG